UAACUUUGAGCGGUGGAUCACUCGGCUCGUGCAUCGAU
rnacentral:rRNA from 1 species